rnacentral:rRNA from 1 species
UACGGAGGGUGCAAGCGUUGCUCGGAAUUACUGGGCGUAAAGCGUACGCAGGCGGCUUUGUAAGUCGGAUGUGAAAUCCCCAAGCUCAACUUGGGAACUGCAUCCGAAACUACCUCGCUUGAGUUCGGGAGAGGAAAGUGGAAUUCCUGGUGUAGAGGUGAAAUUCGUUGAUAUCAGGAGGAACACCGGCGGCGAAAGCGGCUUUCUGGCCCGAUACUGACGCUCAUGUACGAAAGCGUGGGGAGCAAACAGG